GCACAGAAUGGCUCAACUGGUAGAGCAUGAGACUCUUAAUUCAGGGUUGUGGGUUUGAGAGCCACAUUGGGCA